CAUGCCCGACCUAAGACUUAGAGAAACUGUGGGCCAAGUUGCUACUCUGUGCCCGGUACCCUUCAGAGCUGUUUCACUUUUUCUGCCAAAUCUCGCAUUAAUGCUUAUGGCCAGCCCUAAGUUAGAACAAUACAGGGAAGAGAAUUCUGGAGAUACAGUUCUAGCUUCUCUAAGAAUGAUGACUCAAUACAAAAUCCACCACAAUUGUUCUAAUUGUUGUUCUCAGAGUGACAAAAUUUAUUCAAGGAAUAUAUACAAAGGUAAACAUUUAAAAUCUACUAACAUAAAUAAAAAGAGAAAACUAAAACAACCCUUGGCAGUUAUGAACUGAAUGUUGGUGUCCUCAAAAUUUUUAUGUUGAAGCCCGAAUCUCCAACAUGACCUUACUUGUAAAUACAGCCUAUGGUAAAGCUUAAAUGAGGUCAUAAGGGUCAGACUCUACUCCAAUAGGACUGGCACCCUUCUAAGGAGAGGAAGGAACACCAGAGCUCUUUCUCCCUGCUAUGUGAGAACACAGCAAGUAGGCAGUCAUCUGUAAGCCAAGUAGAGAGCUCUCACCAGAAACCAAAUCAGCUGGCACCUUGAUCUUGGACCUCCAGAACGGACUCUGAGGAACUUUAUAAACUGACUGAAAACCCUAAAAUAAGGCCCAGAACUGGCAAGAUGAAUCCCAAAAGAACAUGAAGGAAAGUUAUUAUUAAGGUGGCAUAAGGUAUACACCUGUACGUGCUGCCUCUCACAACCACACCAAAACUACAAUUAAAAGACAAAACGUCUAUCACCCAGAACCAUGUGAAAGCUGGCUGAGUAGAAGUUCUACAAAUGGAAGAAAAGAGAAGAGCAUUGAGACUGGGUAGGACAUGCACAAGCAUGGGAAAGCAGAGUAGCCUUGAAAACAAACUGCUGGAUCCCUAGCCAGUGUGGCUCAGUGUACAGAGCUUCGGCCUGCGAACUGAAGUGUUCCCCAGUUCGAUUCUGGUCAAGGGCACAUGCCUGAGGGACUGCUGGAGGCUCUCUCAUCAUUGAUGUUUCU